rnacentral:rRNA from 1 species
UGCAUGUCGAGCGAAGUUCUUUUUGAACUUAGCGGCGAAUGGGUGAGUAACACGUACUCAACGUACCCUUUAGAUUGGGAUAGCAAGUGGAAACAUUUGAUAAUACCGAAUAUGCAAUUAUUUCGCAUGAAAUUAUUGUAAAAGAAGCCUUUAAAGCUUCGCUAAAGGAGCGGGGUGCGUAGCAUUAGCUAGUUGGUAUGGGUAAUGGCCUACCAAGGCAAUGAUGCUUAGCGGGGUUGAGAGACUGAACCGCCACACUGGGACUGAGAUACGGCCCAGACUCCUACGGGAGGCAGCAGUAGGGAAUAUUCCACAAUGGACGAAAGUCUGAUGGAGCGACACAGCGUGCAGGAUGAAGGCCCUAUGGGUUGUAAACUGCUGUGGUAAGGGAAGAAAAAGUAAAUAAGGAAAUGUAUUUAUCUUGACGGUACCUUAUUAGAAAGCGACGGCUAACUAUGUGCCAGCAGCCGCGGUAAUACAUAGGUCGCAAGCGUUAUCCGGAAUUAUUGGGCGUAAAGCGUCUGUAGGUUGCUUGUUAAGUCUGGCGUCAAAAUUUGGGGCUCAACCCCAAAUCGCGUUAGAUACUAUCAUACUAGAGUUAUGUAGAGGUUAGUGGAAUUCCUUGUGAAGCGGUGGAAUGCGUAGAUAUAAGGAAGAACACCAAUAUGGCGAAGGCAGCUAACUGGACAUAUACUGACACUGAGAGACGAAAGCGUGGGGAGCAAACAGGAUUAGAUACCCUGGUAGUCCACGCCCUAAACGAUGAUCAUUAGUUGAUGGAGAAUUCAUCGACGCAGCUAACGCAUUAAAUGAUCCGCCUGAGUAGUACGUUCGCAAGAAUAAAACUUAAAGGAAUUGACGGGGAUCCGCACAAGCGGUGGAGCAUGUGGUUUAAUUUGAGGAUACGCGUAGAACCUUACCCACUCUUGACAUCUUCUGCAAAGCUAUAGAGAUAUAGUAGAGGUUAACAGAAUGACAGAUGGUGCAUGGUUGUCGUCAGCUCGUGUCGUGAGAUGUUCGGUUAAGUCCUGCAACGAGCGCAACCCUUGUCCUUAGUUACUAACAUUAAGUUGAGCACUCUAAGGAGACUGCCCGAGUAAUUGGGAGGAAGGUGGGGACGACGUCAAAUCAUCAUGCCUCUUACGAGUGGGGCAACACACGUGCUACAAUGGUCGGUACAAAGAGAAGCAAACUGGUGACAGGGAGCAAACCUCAAAAAACCGAUCUCAGUUCGGAUUGUAGUCUGCAACUCGACUACAUGAAGUCGGAAUCGCUAGUAAUCGUAGAUCAGCUACGCUACGGUGAAUACGUUCUCGGGUCUUGUACACACCGCCCGUCAAACCAUGGGAGCUGGUAAUGCCCGAAGUCGGUUUAUUAUACAAACUGCCUAAGG